rnacentral:tRNA from 1 species
AGUAAAGUCAGCUAAACAAGCUAUCGGGCCCAUACCCCGAACAUGUUGGUUAAAAUCCCUCCUUUACUA